UAAUCAAUAAUCCACCAAUUCAAUAAAAUUCAAUAGCAUGGCAUGGCAAUUUUAUCAUUAUUCAGCCUAUCAAGGCAAACAACAGUUUAUACAUUUUCAACACAAAUACCAAUUCAACCAUUCAUGCCAAUAUUAUCAUAAGCCAUUCAAUUCAAACCAUGAUUUAUAACACAACAAUUAGUCUCCAAUUACUCCAUUUUCAAAACCAUCAUUCAAUUUCAAGACAAUUUAUAAAAUCAUUUCAUUUAAACAUAUUUUGUUUAUAAAACAUAAAGAUUUAUUAUUUAAACUCAUUUUCCAUAAAAUCACAAAAUCGGCUAAAAACCACUUUAGAUAAUUAAGACGAUAGUAAGGUUACUCACUAUUUUGGGAGUUGAAUUCCGAGUACUCCGAUUCUUGAUCAUCGGGUACUAUCUCUUUACUUUUGCCAGAAUGCUCACCACCUAGACAUAAUGCACAAUAAGCCAUUUACUACAUUUGUGCUAAAUUGUUAUAAAAGCAAUUCAGGCUCUAUACUAAUGCAUGAAAUGGGAUGUGAAAUACUUGGCUAACUAUCUAAAUACGGUGUUCAAUAUAAAUUCAAUUAUGUACCUAAAUAAAACGGUAUUGGCCUAAUUCGAUCUAUCACCUGAUUAAUUGGCCAAUACAUUCAAUUCAACUCCAAAUAAUUCCAUUUUUCUCCCAUUACUCCAAAUCAUCAAACACAAAUUAAAUAACUUGAAAUAUGGUAAAAUCAUCCUCACAUUUUCUCUUGGAAAAUUCGGCCAUGGUGGGUGCAUCAACAGUAUAAUUUUUCCUACUUGAUUCUCACACCAUAAAUCACUAAUUCCUAACCAAAUCACUUGAAAUAAAAUCAAAAUCAUCCUCAAUAUUCCACAUGGAGAAUUUGGCCAAUGAUGGUUGAUGGAAGAACAUGAAUUUUUCUUGCUUGAUUUUCAUGCUACCCAUCACCAACCAACUAAAACCACUAAAAUACAUUGAAAUCUAACCAAAUCAAGCAUCAAAACCUCUCUCUAAGUGUUCAACCAGCAAGAUACCCAUCAUGAAAUCAAUUGAUUCAACCAUGGAAAUGCAAAAGAAUGUAUGGGAAAUGUAGAUCACAAGUCAAAAUCAAGAAAUUUUACCUUUGAUUGCUUGAUUACUUGAAAUCCACCAAUUUUCUCUUGAGUUUUCACCCUAGGGUUCUUGUUCUUUCUUUUCUUCCUUUGUUCUUGCUUUGGCCGGC
rnacentral:lncRNA from 1 species